AAAUGACGGUACCUGACUAAGAAGCCCCGGCUAACUACGUGCCAGCAGCCGCGGUAAUACGUAGGGGGCAAGCGUUAUCCGGAUUUACUGGGUGUAAAGGGAGCGUAGACGGAUGGACAAGUCUGAUGUGAAAGGCUGGGGCUCAACCCCGGGACUGCAUUGGAAACUGCCCGUCUUGAGUGCCGGAGAGGUAAGCGGAAUUCCUAGUGUAGCGGUGAAAUGCGUAGAUAUUAGGAGGAACACCAGUGGCGAAGGCGGCUUACUGGACGGUAACUGACGUUGAGGCUCGAAAGCGUGGGGAGCAAACAGGAUUAGAUACCCUGGUAGUCCACGCGGUAAACGAUGAAUGCUAGGUGUCGGGGAGCAAAGCUCUUCGGUGCCGCCGCAAACGCAUUAAGCAUUCCACCUGGGGAGUACGUUCGCAAGAAUGAAACUCAAA
rnacentral:rRNA from 1 species